rnacentral:rRNA from 1 species
UACGUAGGGGGCAAGCGUUGUCCGGAAUCAUUGGGCGUAAAGAGCGCGUAGGCGGUCCGGUAAGUCCGCUCUGAAAGUCCGGGGCUCAACCCCGGGAGGCGGGCGGAUACUGUCGGGCUAGAGUCCGGAAGAGGCGAGUGGAAUUCCUGGUGUAGCGGUGAAAUGCGCAGAUAUCAGGAGGAACACCAAUGGCGAAGGCAGCUCGCUGGGGCGGUACUGACGCUGAGACGCGAAAGCGUGGGGAGCAAACAGG